rnacentral:rRNA from 1 species
UAGCUGUAGGUGAACCUGCUGCUGGAUCAUUACUUUAUGUGAUGUUCAAAUUUGAAUUCGCAACAAAAAUAUACUGUUGUGAACCGGCUGUCGCUGGUGUCUAGGUGUUGCUGAUACAGUUGUUAACGUCCGUGGCUGUAUAUGUGGUGACAUGUUAGGACUCUUUAAUGAGUUUAAGACUUAAUGAGCCUCUUAAGUGAGGACGCCAGCACUCUUUUUUUCUCUAUAUUUUUUAAAAAAACGAAAAUUUCUAGCCUUAUCGGUGGAUCACUCGGCUCGUGGAUCGAUGAAGAACGCAGCAAACUGCGAUAAUUUGUGCGAACUGCAGAAACCUUGAGCACAAAAGUUUUGAACGCAUAUUGCAGCAUUGGGGUCAAACCCUUUGCUACGUCUUGUUCAGGGUCAUUUUCUUUUAAAGCGAAAGCUUUAAUUUAUAUAUGCUAUUGAUGCUUUAUAUUUUAAGAGGUUUGUUGUUUGUCAUAAUUUUAUAAAUAUAACUACAAAAAUCAAGCAACUUUGACCUGAACUCAGUCGAGAGC